rnacentral:rRNA from 1 species
UGCCAGCCGCCGCGGUAAUACGGAGGGGUGAGAGUUGUUCGGAAUUACUGGGCGUAAAGCGCACGUAGGCGGAUUAGAAAUUUAGAGGUGAAAUCCCGGGGCGUAACUCUGGAACUGCCAUUAAAACUUUUCAACUAGAGUAUGAUAGAGGAAAGCAGAAUUUCUAGUGUAGAGGUGAAAUUCGUAGAUAUUAGAAAGAAUACCAAUUGCGAAGGCAGCUUUCUGGAUCAUUACUGACACUGAGGAGCGAAAGCAUGGGUAGCGAAGAGGAUUAGAUA